UACAGAGGUGGCAAGCGUUGUUCGGAAUUACUGGGCGUAAAGGGCGCGUAGGCGGUCUUGUAAGUCUUGUGUGAAAUCCCUCGGCUUAACUGAGGAACUGCACGGGAUACUGCGAGACUUGAGAUCGGGGAGAGGGAAGCGGAAUUCCGGGUGGUAGCGGUGAAAUGCGUAGAUAUCCGGAGGAACACCGGUGGCGAAGGCGGCUUCCUGGACCGACACUGACGCUGGAGGCGCGAAAGCUAGGGGAGCAAACGGG
rnacentral:rRNA from 1 species